rnacentral:lncRNA from 1 species
AUAUUUAUAGCUUUCGUCAAGUAUUAAACUAUGAUAAAUUUCGACAUGCUGUUUGGCUCGGACUUAUGAACUGAACUAUUCGCAUUUCGCAAUGACAGUUAUGACUUAUGAUCAGUUGUCACUCGGAUUAAUAAUUUCGUGUGUUUAUCCAACUACUUCGUUCGCGAUAGUAAAAAAAUAUAUUAUUUCAGCUUGAAUUUGGAUUCUGAUGAUAUCUUACUCGCUUCACCUUGACUAUUCUAUACUGGAUUCGAUAUACUUGGAACAUUUGACUUGGCUUUAUUUUAUUGAAAUCAGUGUUACUUACGAGUGGUAUUAGUUGUGCGUCGUAUUUAUACACUCAUAAAUAUCAUGAGAAAUAAGCGCAAACCCUAUGCAGGUGUGAAACUUCUUAAAAGAUGGAGAAAAAUCAGCAGGUAGUCAAUUUUAAUAACCUAAUUAUCUGACAACCUAACUAUCGAGAGAAAUAAAAUGAAAUACUAUUGUAUUUCGUACAUAUUCAUAAGAUUAUAUUUCCAGAAAUUUAAAUCAAAUGAAAGAGUUAUCAAAGUUGAAUAAAGGUGAAAAAAAAAUAUCUUUAGAACCAGAGACAUCGGCUCCACCAGUUGAGUCUAAUUAUGUAUCAGAGUUGGAUGUGUCAGUAUUACCCACUGUAAAUUAAUCUAUAUACAGAUUAGUAUUGUAAAAUAUAAAGCCACCAACAAGGUACCUAUAUCUUGAUAUUAUUUUUUCUUCAUUUUCAAUCUUAUACCUAAAUAUUUUUUGUGCAGCAUCAGUUUAUUUUUCAUGUUUAAAGUUCAUCAUCAAUCAAAAAAGGAACCCUUUGUAGCUUUAUAAUUUGUUUUUGUUAUUAACAUUAUAUUUGUAAGCAUUACUAAAUUAUCAGUAUCCUUAGUUACAUAAAAAAUAAUGAUAAAAAGACUACUGUUUAUUGUCAAUUUUUAUAAUUGCAUUCUUCUGAUAAACAAACUUUAUUUUGUCAAAAUUCUUUUCACAUUAAAUUACUACUACUUUUACUACAUAACCCGUUGCUUAAUAUUUUUAAGGUAUGAGCUUGAGGUCACCUAACUUUUUACAACAAAUCAUGAGUCAGUAUUAUUACAUGGUCUAUGACAAAAAAUUAUAUUUAUAUAUUAAUAAUGACUAGUGUUGAGAUAUGUUAAUUAAAUGAGUAUAAAUAUUUUGUCUUGACUCUAUAUUCUUAUCCAAUUGUUCUUAGGUCUGUUCAAGUAUUACAUAAGCAGACUUCUAGUAUUUUUAUCUCCUGUCCCGCUUGUUAGCACAAGCCCUUACACCUUCUCCCUCCAUACAUAAAAAUAGGUAUAAUGUGUAGAAAGUCUGUAAAAAUUUCUUUAUUGUUAUUUAUAAGCAACUAUAGUAUUACAUGUUGCCCAUGGCACCAUCAACAUACACCAUACAUGCUUACGAGUACAAACAAAUAGGAAUGUCAUAUAUUUUCAAUCAAAAAUUACAUAUUUAUAAAAAAAAUAUAUAUUGCUUUGGUGUGUAUGUAAUAUAUGAAUAGUCCUUAAGUAUUGAAACUAUAACAUCCAAAUUCCCAGAUCCCAAGUUGUGCCAGUCAGCCUGAUCAACAUUCUUUAAAUCGGGAUGCACCAUGUGGAGGUAUCCUGAUGUUGCAUCCCUUCUUCCACCUGCCCCUGGGUCAUUCCAAUAGGGAGUCAGCACAACACUGAUGUUCAUACACGACGUAGAUAGGACUUGGCUUUGUUUCUAUGUUGACUGCCUGUCAGACGACAACUGCCUAUAAUGAGUUUAUUUGUGAAAUAUUAUACUAACGAAUAUAACUUACUAGAUUUA